GCUUCUCACACAUAAAUAAAAGCAGACUGC
rnacentral:piRNA from 1 species